GACCCUACGGGGGGCAGCAGUGGGGAAUAUUGCACAAUGGGGGAAACCCUGAUGAAGCGACGCCGCGUGAGUGAAGAAGUAAUUCGUUAUGUAAGCUCUAUCAGCAGGGAAGAAAAUGACGGUACCUGAGUAAGAAGCACCGGCUAACUACGUGCCAGCAGCCGCGGUAAUACGUAGGGGGCAAGCGGUAUCCGGAGUUACUGGGUGUAAAGGGAGCGUAGACGGCAGUGCAAGUCUGGAGUG
rnacentral:rRNA from 1 species